rnacentral:sRNA from 1 species
GCCAGGUGUGGUGGUGCACACCUGUAAUCCCAGCAGCUCAGGAGGCUGAGGCAGGAGGAUGGUGAGCUCAAAGCCAGCCUCAG